rnacentral:rRNA from 1 species
UGAGGAAUUUUGCGCAAUGGGGGAAACCCUGACGCAGCAACGCCGCGUGAGUGAUGAAGGCCUUCGGGUCGUAAAGCUCUGUCAAGUGAGAAGAAUCUGCCCUGUGCUAAUAUCACCGGGCACUGACGGUACCACUGAAGGAAGCACCGGCUAACUCCGUGCCAGCAGCCGCGGUAACACGGGGGGUGCAAGCGUUAUUCGGAAUCACUGGGCGUAAAGAGCGCGUAGGCGGUCUCUUAAGUCAGAUGUGAAAGCCCGGGGCUCAACCCCGGAAGUGCAUUUGAAACGAAGGGACUUGAGUAUGGGAGAGGGAAGUGGAAUUCCUGGUGUAGCGGUGAAAUGCGUAGAUAUCAGGAGGAACACCGGUGGCGAUGGCGACUUCCUGGACCAAUACUGACGCUGAGGCGCGAAGGCGUGGGGAGCAAACA